rnacentral:rRNA from 1 species
AUUGAACGCUGGCGGCAUGCCUUACACAUGCAAGUCGAACGGUAACGGGCCUUCGGGUGCCGACGAGUGGCGAACGGGUGAGUAAUGCAUCGGAACGUACCUUUCAGUGGGGGAUAACGUAGCGAAAGUUACGCUAAUACCGCAUAUUCUGUGAGCAGGAAAGCAGGGGAUCGCAAGACCUUGCGCUGAUUGAGCGGCCGAUGUCAGAUUAGCUAGUUGGUGAGGUAAAGGCUCACCAAGGCGACGAUCUGUAGCGGGUCUGAGAGGAUGAUCCGCCAUACUGGGACUGAGACACGGCCCAGACUCCUACGGGAGGCAGCAGUGGGGAAUUUUGGACAAUGGGGGCAACCCUGAUCCAGCCAUGCCGCGUGAGUGAAGAAGGCCUUCGGGUUGUAAAGCUCUUUCGGCCGGGAAGAAAUCGCACGGGCUAAUACCCUGUGUGGAUGACGGUACCGGAAUAAGAAGCACCGGCUAACUACGUGCCAGCCGCCGCGGUAACAC